rnacentral:rRNA from 2 species
CUACGGGAGGCAGCAGUAGGGAAUCUUCCACAAUGGACGAAAGUCUGAUGGAGCAACGCCGCGUGAGUGAAGAAGGGUUUCGGCUCGUAAAACUCUGUUGUUAAAGAAGAACAUAUCUGAGAGUAACUGUUCAGGUAUUGACGGUAUUUAACCAGAAAGCCACGGCUAACUACGUGCCAGCAGCCGCGGUAAUACGUAGGUGGCAAGCGUUGUCCGGAUUUAUUGGGCGUAAAGCGAGCGCAGGCGGUUUUUUAAGUCUGAUGUGAAAGCCUUCGGCUCAACCGAAGAAGUGCAUCGGAAACUGGGAAACUUGAGUGCAGAAGAGGACAGUGGAACUCCAUGUGUAGCGGUGAAAUGCGUAGAUAUAUGGAAGAACACCAGUGGCGAAGGCGGCUGUCUGGUCUGUAACUGACGCUGAGGCUCGAAAGUAUGGGUAGCAAACAGGAUUAGAUACCCUGGUAGUCCAUACCGUAAACGAUGAAUGCUAAGUGUUGGAGGGUUUCCGCCCUUCAGUGCUGCAGCUAACGCAUUAAGCAUUCCGCCUGGGGAGUACGGCCGCAAGGCUGAAACUCAAAGGAAUUGACGGGGGCCCGCACAAGCGGUGGAGCAUGUGGUUUAAUUCGAAGCUACGCGAAGAACCUUACCAGGUCUUGACAUACUAUGCAAAUCUAAGAGAUUAGACGUUCCCUUCGGGGACAUGGAUACAGGUGGUGCAUGGUUGUCGUCAGCUCGUGUCGUGAGAUGUUGGGUUAAGUCCCGCAACGAGCGCAACCCUUAUUAUCAGUUGCCAGCAUUAAGUUGGGCACUCUGGUGAGACUGCCGGUGACAAACCGGAGGAAGGUGGGGAUGACGUCAAAUCAUCAUGCCCCUUAUGACCUGGGCUACACACGUGCUACAAUGGAUGGUACAACGAGUUGCGAACUCGCGAGAGUAAGCUAAUCUCUUAAAGCCAUUCUCAGUUCGGAUUGUAGGCUGCAACUCGCCUACAUGAAGUCGGAAUCGCUAGUAAUCGCGGAUCAGCAUGCCGCGGUGAAUACGUUCCCGGGCCUUGUACACACCGCCCGUCACACCAUGAGAGUUUGUAACACCCAAAGUCGGUGGGGUAACCUUUU